rnacentral:lncRNA from 12 species
UUGUGAAGAGGGUUAUAUGUGCAACAAUUCAGUUCUUUGUACCUUCUCUCCAGGGAAUGUGAGCAGUCUCUAGAGUUUUCUAACUGGAGCUUCUCAGUGCAGAGACGGUUGAGGAUUGCUGGUUCCUGUGUCAACACAUUGUAUUUGCCAUCUUCUUAGAAAUCCAAAGAGAACAUAUGGGUUAUCAGGAAAUGGAUGAAUCAGUACCCUCCAGAGGCAGAGUUCAGCUGCCAAAUUCCAAGAUAUGGAGAACAGAUAUCAAUGAACAUAAACAAUACUGCUGUGAGAAGAGAGAGCUGGGACUACUCAAGGUUCCCAUGAAUUCCUGCAGGAGAGGCUGGCUUCUGUGGCAUCUGUUAAAGGAGUGA